UCCCAGUGUUCCCAGUAUGGACCAGUAUGGCCCCAACCCUCUCCCAGUGCUCCCAGUGCUCCCAGUUUGCCCAGUUCGCCCUCCCAGUGCUCCCAGUACCUCCUCGGGGGCUCCCAGUAGCUCCCAGUAACUCCCAGUAACUCCCAGUGCCGGCGGAGCGUAAAAGGGGCGUGGCCAUCGGAGGAAGGGGCGUGGCCAGUGGGGAAAGGGGCGUGGCCAACACAGGCCCCGCCCCUUUGGCUCACUAUUUGGCACUAU
rnacentral:lncRNA from 1 species